AGUAACACGUGGGUAACCUGCCCAUCAGAGGGGGAUAACAUUCGGAAACGGAUGCUAAAACCGCAUAGGUCCUUUAACCGCAUGGUUGAAGGAGGAAAAGAGGCGCAAGCUUCUGCUGAUGGAUGGACCCGCGGUGCAUUAGCUAGUUGGUGAGGUAACGGCUCACCAAGGCCGUAAUGCAUAGCCGACCUGAGAGGGUGAUCGGCCACAUUGGGACUGAGACACGGCCCAA
rnacentral:rRNA from 1 species